rnacentral:rRNA from 1 species
UACGAAGGGGGCUAGCGUUGCUCGGAAUCACUGGGCGUAAAGCGCACGUAGGCGGCUUUCUAAGUCAGGGGUGAAAUCCUGGAGCUCAACUCCAGAACUGCCUUUGAUACUGGGAAGCUUGAGUCCGGAAGAGGUGAGUGGAACUCCGAGUGUAGAGGUGAAAUUCGUAGAUAUUCGGAAGAACACCAGUGGCGAAGGCGGCUCACUGGUCCGGUACUGACGCUGAGGUGCGAAAGCGUGGGGAGCAAACAGG